UCAAGUUAUUAAGGGUGCAGGGCGGAUGCCUUGGCACUAGGAGCCGAUGAAGGACGUGAUAAGCUGCGAUAAGCUUCGGGGAGUUGCACGUAAACUUUGAUCCGAAGAUUUCCGAAUGAGGAAACUCACUUAGAGUAAUGUCUAAGUAUCAUUAAGUGAAUACAUAGCUUAAUGAGGGGAACUCAGGGAACUGAAACAUCUAAGUACCUGAAGGAAGAGAAAGAAAUUCGAUUCCGUAAGUAGCGGCGAGCGAACGCGGAUUAGCCCAAACCAAUAAAGUUUUCUUUAUUGGGGUUGCGGACAUAUCAUAACGAAGAGGUAUCGUAAUUGAAGAGGUUUGGAAAGACCCACCACAGAAGGUAAUAGUCCUGUAUGUUAAACGAGAAGACUUUAGAUAUGAUCCAGAGUACCACGGGACACGUGAAACCCUGUGGGAAGCAGGAGGGACCACCCUCCAAGGCUAAAUACUACCUAGUGACCGAUAGCGUAUAGUACCGUGAGGGAAAGGUGAAAAGAACCCCGAGAGGGGAGUGAAAUAGAACCUGAAACCCUGCACUUACAAGCUGUGGAAGCACAUUUCUUGUGUGACCGCGUACUUUUUGUAGAACGGGCCAACGAGUUACGUUAAGUAGCAAGGUUAAGCACUUAAGGUGUGGAGCCGUAGCGAAAGCGAGUUUUAACUGAGCGCUCAGUUACUUGACGUAGACCCGAAACCGGGCGACCUACCCAUGAGCAGGAUGAAGCGAAAGUAAAAUUUCGUGGAGGUCCGAACCCACGAGCGUUGAAAAGCUCGGGGAUGACUUGUGGGUAGCGGUGAAAUUCCAAUCGAGCCCGGAGAUAGCUGGUUCUCCCCGAAAUAGCUUUAGGGCUAGCCUCAAGGUGAGAGAUACGGAGGUAGAGCACUGAAUGUCCUAGGGGGUAUUGCACCUACCGAAGACUAUCAAACUCCGAAUGCCGUCAUCUUAUACUUGGGAGUCAGACUGUGGGUGAUAAGAUUCAUAGUCGAAAGGGCAACAGCCCAGAUCGUCAGCUAAGGUCCCUAAAUGUAAGUUAAGUGGUAAAGGAUGUGGGAUUGCACAGACAACCAGGAUGUUGGCUUAGAAGCAGCCACUCAUUCAAAGAGUGCGUAAUAGCUCACUGGUCGAGUGAUCCUGCGCCGAAGA
rnacentral:rRNA from 1 species